rnacentral:lncRNA from 1 species
UAAUGGUUGUUAAUUGUGAUUACUUCAUCUAAAAGGAGGGAGAGAUUGAAGGUUUAAAAAGAGAGACAUGAGAUGGAUAUAUAAAGAUAAGAGAGAGACGUGUGUGUAGAAAGAGCUAAGAGGCAUCAACAUGAAUAGAAGAAAAGAUACAUGAGAAAGAGAUCCGAGGGAGAGAGACACAUGAGUGGAAAAAGAGAUAAGAUGAAGAGAUAAAAGGGGGAGAGAGAGACACAUGAG